UCCUUUCUCUCCUCCACCGCCUGAGAGUGAGAAAUCCCUAAAAAGAGAGUGAGAGAGUAAAACAGAUCGAGGCGGCAGCGGCGGCGGCGGCGGCUGUACCAAAUCGGAGUGGUCUGCCCGUGCAUCACCAUAGCUCCAUUGGUGGCUAGGUCUGAUUGGUGCCGUGACACGCGCUCGAGCCGCGGUUCAGGCGCCGUCCACCAGCGAGGCCGCAUCUCAGUCGAUCCCCACCAGGACCAGGCUCCCCCGUCCACAUGCGCCACCUCUUCCGAUUAGCUGCCGGCAGAUGUCGCUCCUGGCCAUCACGAAUCUAACCCCAAGGUCCAAGCUAUCUCGCUCUACUUCUCCCUUUGCAUUCUUCGCGGUGUCCAGGGUGCAGUUCAUGUACCGCUUCUCAAGCCUAUCAUCAGGCACAAAAUGUUUUUCUAGUGCAUAGUUUUGUGUGCUGAAGGUGAGAUCACUAUCCUUGAGCUUGAAUCGAAAGAUAAGUCUGUGUCAACAUAAUUGUUGUAUAAUCUUUGACGCUUCUUCAUAUUUCCCAUCCAUGGAUUCAGCAAAUUCGGCACAGAUGUAUUAAGCAAUUUUUGGGCGUCCUUGUCAAACAAAGGCAACUUGUAGUAACUGUACAGUCACUAAUUUGGAGUCGAAUAUGAUACCUACCAUACCAUUGUUAUUAGUGCAGAGUAGGAUAAUAGGAACGAUCAUGUUCAAAUUAGUAUAAUAUGAUCACGGAGGUGUAACAAUUUCUGGAUAUGUACCAUUGUACUUGUCAGUUUCCUUAUCAUCAGACGACAUAUACCAUCACUGGAUAUUUUCUCAUAACCUAUCUAUUGUAGCUAUUGAUGUGACCACAAAAUCGUAAAAACAAAACACAAAAUCUUUAAAGGAUUCUGAAUAAAUUGAGAGACAUAAAUAACUCAAAUAUGGUUCUAUUAUAACUAAUAUGUCUCAAUUGUCUUCGUAGGUCUUAUAGUCUUGUUUUUCUUCAAAAGCGGCGAUAUCAUAAAGAAGUCUCAUGCAUUACCUGAUUUGUCUACCUUUUGCAUCUCAUUCUAAUGAGAGGCAACUCAAAAGGGUGGUUGGCCGUCAAGCAUCGAGAUGUCCGGCAUGUUGCAGUUUUCACCGAUUCUGCUGUGUCGUAGAAUCAGUAGACUUUGAUUGGUCAGGGGAAGAUUCGGCUAGCUUCAGUUUUGGGAUGUGUCCGGCUGGAUGUAUUUCUUUUUUAUUUUUAUGUGUGCUUGUCUUAGCAGAGUACGUGUGUGCUGGUUGUGUCCGGCUGGUCUUUUUAUGUGUGCUUGAGCUGGCCUAAUACUUUUGGAGUAUUUUUUGUCGAGUCCAUGCUCAACACGUCUGGACUUCUUUUGGUUGCGUUGGAGAUUUGGAAGAGGGUGCACGUGAGACCAUGCUCAACACGCCUGGAGUUCUUUUGGUUGAUCUGGGUGCACGUGACAUUUUAUAUAUGGUUAAUUGUGUCUUGGUGUCUUA